AGCUCACACGUAUGACGUUUUAAUCUACCAUUCAUUCACAUAGAACAAACCCUAAGUAGACGGCGAUGGAAUCAUGUGGAUCCUUGUUUUUCUGCAGCACCGAUUUCUGCAACCCUAACUGGAUAAUUUUUUCGUACUGGUAAAGACAACAGAAAUUGAGUAAUUGCUGCGGCACCAUUUAUAACACAACUUCAUAUAGCAUCUCAAAAUGAAGGAACUAAGCAUUGUCAGAGUCAUGAUCAUGUGCAUCAAUCAAGAGACAAAAUUCACAGCAGUGAAAACAGAACACUCCAAGUGGAAUGUCGAAAUUGAACGUCAGUGAGGAAGCCCUCCUGGGCGUUCAAUGCCCCAAGAGGGGAGCAAUGGCAUUGAACGCCAGCCAUGGAGCAGCCCUUCGGCAUUCAAACGCCAGUGCAGAGAAGCAGAGAAUCUGGAAUUCCCUAGCCUCUCAAGACCAAGAGGUCCCACAGAAGGUCCACCUACACCACCUUUUUCUUUUCCAUCGAUCAUAUUUGCUUGAGGACGAACAAAACUCUUAAGUUUGGUGUUGCAAAAGCUUUGCUUUGUGACGUCUACCACUCUUAAGUAUAGAAGAAGAUGAUGGAGUAAACUAGAGAGCAUGCACAUGAGCCUGUGCAGCCGCCUCAACAAAGACACAUGAGUGACAUAGAAGAGAUCAAGAACUACAUGAGAUCCUCAAGGACGAGCACUGGCCACUAUCAUUCAGAUGCAGGUCAAGAGGCAUCUCGUUAGGCGUUUGGACCCUUGAAGCGGAGUGGUUACAGGGUUAUUUUGUUAUGCUAUUAUGUGUAUAUAUGUACUUGGUUUUCUCCCUGCAUAACUUGUUCUUUUGAUCCUCCUAGAGGUUUAUGGAGAGACAGGAUUGUGUAUAUGUACUUUUGGGUUUUGGAUAUGUAUGUAUAUAUAUGUGUAAAUAUUCUCCGGCCAGUCUUGACUUCACAGGCUGAGUUAGGAGCUUGUUAUUUUGUAUCUUUGGCACUC